AUUGAACGCUGGCGGCCGGCCUAACACAUGCAAGUCGAACGAUUGGCGGACUGGUGAGUCCUGUCUGGUAAACUGCCCGAUGGAUGGGGAUAACUACUGUAAACGGUAGCUAAUACCGCAUACCCUCUGCUGUUCCCCUAUGGGAUUAGCUAGUAGGUGGGGUAACGGCUCCCCUAGGCGAAGCGCCCUAGCUGGUCUGAGCGGAUGACCAGCAACAUGGGAACGGAGACAGGGUCCAGAACCCUACGGGAGGCAGCAGUGGGGAAUAUUGCACAAUGGGCGCAAGCCUGAUGCAGCCAUGCCGCGUGUAUGAAGAAGGCCUUCGGGUUGGAAAGUACUUUCAGCGAGGAGGCGUUACUCGCAGAAGAAGAACCGGCUAACUCCGUGCCAGAAGCCGCGGUAAUAC
rnacentral:rRNA from 1 species